AGAACGUAAUCGAACGUAAGAUCGCCGCCGCUUCGAACACCAUCCACGACCUGUUUCACGGUCAGUUUUGAGCGUAUCGAUUCCACGAAGGCCUUCCAGGCGUUUUUCCUCUCUUCUGAUUCCUUUCGUCUGUAAAUGACAGACCUUCGUGCCAAGUCGUCCUUAAUAGCGGCGGAACCGGCGCUGCCCAAUCCGCUGUACGUGCACUGUGUCGGAAUCACGCUGAGAAAUGUUCAAAAACAAAUGAGGACGUUUUGGGAUAAUGUCUCGCGCAGAAUUCUGCAUCGUUGAGAUAAGUCACCUUACUAUGGAGUUCAUCUUUACUCCGAUUCCCAUUUCCGUCAGGCAAUGCAAGCAAUUCUCGCAUGGUUCUCCCGCAGGUACCGGAAAUAUCACCUUCCCAACGAAAAAAAUCAAAGAUUAACGUCGAAUAGGAACGAUGCACACGGUAUUGGCUUCUCACCUCGUAGUACAUGUUUCCAUUGUCCUUGCACCACACCACAUGUUCCACUUUGAGCUUCUUCAACAGUUCGUGUAACACCUUUGCAAAUUGAUAACGGAAAAGAAACGAAACAAAAGUUGCAAGUCACAUAUCUGUACCUCGGAGGAAUCAUCAUCGUCGAGUUUCAACAGUUGUGUUCUCGUUCUUGUCUCCCUGAUACGUAGGUCCACCCUUGGUGCAGACGCUAGGUUUCCAUCCUUCUCGUUUCUGGGCUUCUUCAAGGGAACGCCGAAAAUGAGCUCGUGCUCGAAGCUCGAUGUGGGUGUAGAUCAAUCUCGAGCGGAUUGUCGAAGCAUCGAUUUCAUUAGCAUCUCGCUAAUUGCUUUGUUGCUUUGCUCUUAAUUAGCGUGACGUCGAUGAUGAAUCAGUCGAGGCUCGUUUAUCUUCUACGAUUGUUCUACGGCCAUACUUAAGGAGAGGAGCGCUUGGACAAUUUCCGUAUGUCUGUCGCCUCUAAGGACUUGGACGAUCCCAGGCAAGAUGCCAGUUUAUUGUACAGGAUCCAUUCGUAUAAAUGCAUUUCACACUUCAGGGAUGAAUUCAUCAUAUAAAAAUAAUGGAAAAUGUUUAGUAAAUACGGGAUCACUUUUGCUCUGCUUCCAAGUUGUAACUAUUAAUCAGAAGAAAAUGCUACUCCGAAGCAUUUUUAGCUUUCUAAAGAAUAUGUAACAUUCGGAAUGUACAUUGCCUUUGUCUAAGUUAUUAACCUGUAACGAAAGCUUACUAAGUUUUUACGUUGAAUCCACGUCUCAAGUGAAUUUCAUUUCCACGAAUGCGCCAUAUACAUAAAUGCAUGCGAUGAACGAAGCAUUUUGCUGUAUUAUUAUCUCUAUUUUCUUUUCAGAGAUCUUUCUGGUGAGUCGUCGAAACGUGACCAUUCACGAGUACGCUUGUUGCAUGGAAUUACUGGUUCUCUGCAGGAAUUUUCGCAGAUUUCUAAUUCGUCAAAAUUCAAACAUUCUUUUUCUUCGAUUGGAGCCUGAAUACAAAUUUAUCGUUUGGUGUAAAUAUUGAAAAGUUUGCAAGAGUCCCUGCAGAAACUUAAUAAUGUGACAUCAAGAUGGGUUGUCUGAAAGGGAACAUCAAAAUCACUGUGGUUGAGGAUGCAAGAGUCUUGUCAUCGACAGGUUGCAUAGUUUGAUAUAUCAGGUAUGCCAAAAGAUUAUAAGUUUUUCUCAAUUAUAAAACAAUGCAUGUAAUGUCUGAUAAACACAAUACUGUUUCUAUCUAUCAACAAAUAUUUUCUAGAGAAGUGGUUACCCAAACUAUACAAUUGACAUGAUUUUAGCUCCCUCGAAGGUAACAGGGAUAUUCAGUCAGCCCCUUUCCAUCUUGUACGCGUGUAUAAACGGUUCCUUGAUAUAUAUAUAUCAGCCGUUCAUUAUGAAACUGCGAUAAGUUCAUUCAUUUAAAACAAGGGUCUACUUGUUUGUGCAAUACGAAGAAUUUAAACGAACCAAUAAAUGAACGUACCCCGCUUUCAUAACGAAUAACUAAUACAAUGCCCUGAACUCUGCGCCCCAGCGGGUGUGUCUAUUUCUAGAUUCACAUCUAAAAAUUCAAAAGCAAAUUGCACAUGUGACCCCAGCUCGUCAAGUCAUUUUGCGUCAGAGAUUUUCUGUAUUCCCCUAAAAAACAAAAACUAUAGCGCGUCACAGAAUCACCUAAGCGCGCGUAUCUACGAGUUCUUGACGCUACGUAGGUUGCGUCCAAAGGCGUCCAGGGAAAAGACUCAUCCCCUUCCCUCUGUCAUCGCCAUACAGAAAGUUCCGAUCGUUAGGAUACAUCUAGGAAUCUUAAGGCCACGAUACCAAGUAAUCAGCGAUCUUCGCAAGUCAAUUCGCACAGGAUUCGGUUCGAAGAAGAAUCCGAGCUCUAGGAAACGGCGCGCGGCCCUUCGGUUGUCGAUUUUUCUCGACACGCAGAAAAAUAUCAGAACAGGAAACAACGACAAAAUCGUUUCUUCUGUUCGUUCGAGAUUAAGAAAUCCCCGUGGACGAUCCGCGUGGUUCGCGGAGGAAGCAUCAAAACGAACAACAGGAAAAACAUCCCCCAGGUACCUCCGCCUCGAUCCUAUGUGACCGUCAGUCGUGCGUGGAGGAAAAGGUAUCGGUUAAAAAAAUAGCUUUCUCAGGUUUCCCACCCACUGUCUUCUUCUUUCUUCCACGUACCACUCGUCGAAUGUGCAAAAAGUAUUCGCGCAGCGGUCUGAGUGUAUCAAAAAUGGCAUCCGUGCGAUCGCGGUGCGUCUGGUGCGGUAACUCUUUGCUAGAAAAUACCGGACGCGUUGAGCGGCAUCUUGCUACGGUGCGUUUCCGUGGUUGUUCUCGUCAACCACUGGUUCCUCUUGAAAAUUCCAAAAUGUGUGAACCCCUCAAAACGGGGGGGGAAUGUGAAUCCUCCCUGUGCAUGAAGAGUUUAAGCGGAAAGAAAAGUUUCUCUGUUCCUUUCGCUCGUGACGAUGGAGAACUACCUAUGCCAUGAUGAACUCGUUUCUGCGUGCGAGCUAAUGCGUCGGUGGAGACAGGUGAGAGAAUCGACUAGGUGUAAAGGGUUUAGGAAAGAGGUAUCCUACCCUCAAAUUGACUUUCCUCGGUUUUGAAUUCUCAGUCUGUCGCUACUUUGAGUAGUGUGGUAGCUCGAGUAUCAGAGCAGCCUAUGGUUUGUAUGCUGCGCUCGAGAUACGUCGCUCAGUCGAAGCCAACAUGGCGUGCAGAGAAAUAAAAAUGUACGUUCUAACGUUAGGUUUAAUUAGACAGUUUAAAGAUUAACUUCCCAUAUUGUUGCAGGUGGUAGUGGCAAAGUUCAAGAUUAGAAACACAUUGAGGUCUACCUAACUCGACAAUAAAAGAUACAAUUUUACAGCAGAAAUACAAAUUCGAACUCGAUGAACUUCUUUCGACGCUAUGUUUGGCUUCACUUGAGCGACGCUCUCCCUUGCAUUUCAAGUAUAACAACGUCUACAUCCCUUUGUAUGACCAUGGAGUUGCUUGGCUGUGGCAGCAAGACAAGAAUUCUCUUCAGGGCAAAUGCGCCCCCUCUCCCCGCGUCGAUUCCUCCACGUGCCCAGACCUCGGUCAAUAUAUAUAGAUACUUUCCGUCAUCGUGGUCCUGCUGCGGGAGGUGGAUAAAAAAACGAGCUGUUCUUCCUUCUCCUUGUGUAACGCACACGCGACUGUUUAGGGUGGAUACGCCAUAGUCGCGUGGCCAGAGGUGUUACUUUCCCUUCAGACAGGUGCGCUAGGUCGUCGUAAGAGCGACGAAAGCAACGAGCGUCGAGGUGGUCGUCGCCACGGGCGACGCAGCCGACGCUCGACGUCAGCGUAGGCCGUCUGCUCCUCGACGAUCCCCAAGGGUCAAGCGUUCUCCUCCUCCUCGUCGA